rfam:Schistosoma haematobium scaffold2556_9, whole genome shotgun sequence.
AUCUAGCCUACGAGUUUCAAAUAGGACGAAACGCGUGUCCUUGAU